UACGGAGGGGGCUAGCGUUGUUCGGAAUUACUGGGCGUAAAGCGCACGUAGGCGGACUGUUAAGUCGGGGGUGAAAUCCUGGGGCUCAACCUCAGAAUUGCCUCCGAUACUGGCAGUCUCGAGUGCGGGAGAGGUGAGUGGAAUUCCCAGUGUAGAGGUGAAAUUCGUAGAUAUUGGGAAGAACACCAGUGGCGAAGGCGGCUCACUGGCGUCGUAACUGACGCUCAUGCACGACAGCGUGGGGAUCAAACAGG
rnacentral:rRNA from 1 species